AUACGGAGGAUCCGAGCGUUAUCCGGAUUUAUUGGGUUUAAAGGGUGCGCAGGCGGGAGAUUAAGUCGGCGGUGAAAUUUUUCAGCUCAACUGUAAAAGAGCCUUCGAAACCGGGUUCCUUGAGGGUAGAUGAAGUAGGCGGAAUUUGUGGUGUAGCGGUGAAAUGCAUAGAUAUCACGAGGAACUCCGAUUGCGCAGGCAGCUUACUAAACUACUACUGACGCUCAGGCACGAAGGCGUGGGGAUCAAACAGGAUUAGAUACCCUGGUAGUCCACGCAGUAAACGAUGAUUACUAGCUGUUUGCGAUACAAUGUAAGCGGCUGAGCGAAAGCGUUAAGUAAUCCACCUGGGGAGUACGUUCGCAAGAAUGAAACUCAAAUGAAUUGACGGGG
rnacentral:rRNA from 1 species